GUGUCAGCCGCCGCGGUAAUACGAAGGGGGCUAGCGUUGUUCGGAAUUACUGGGCGUAUUGUGCACGUAGGCGGAUAUUUAAGUCAGGGGUGAAAUCCCAGAGCUCAACUCUGGAACUGCCUUUGAUACUGGGUAUCUUGAGUAUGUUAGAGGUGUGUGGAAUUCCGAGUGUAGAGGUGAAAUUCGUAGAUAUUCGGAGGAACACCAGUGGCGAAGGCGCCUCACUGGUCCAUUACUGACGCUGAGGUGCGAAAGCGUGGGGAGCAAACAGGUUUAGAUACCCUCGUAGUCC
rnacentral:rRNA from 1 species